rnacentral:lncRNA from 1 species
GUACUGUUGAUUCCUAUACGUACACAUGCACCAGCUCAUGAUACUCCUCCUGAUUCUAUGGCUUCCCAAGCACCAUUUGAGAUUGUCGAUCCAGCUCCUGCUCCCCUUAUUCAUCGAUAUCCUGAACAUAUUCGUAAGUCUACUCAGUUACCUGAUUUUGAUUAUUCAUGUUAUUCUGAGUCAUUUUGUUGUUUUCUAACCUCUAUUCAUAAGCUAUCUGAACCCACUUCUUAUAAAGAAGCUAUUCUGGAUCCUCUUUGGCAACAGGCUAUGGCUGAUGAACUUUCUGCUCUACAUAAGACAGACACUUGGGACUUAAUUGCAUUGCCUCCAGGUAAACAUGUUAUUGGUUCUCGUUGGGUUUAUAAGAUUAAAACCAAAUCUGAUGGUUCAGUUGAGCGUUACAAGGCUAGAUUGGUUGCUAAGGGUUUUACUCAGCAGUAUGGUCUAGAUUAUGAAGAGACUUUUGCUCCUGUUGCCAAGACGACCACUGUUCGUCCACUUAUUACCGUUGCAUAUGUUCGUCAGUGGAGUCUUUCUCAAUUGGAUGUCAAAAAUGCAUUUUUAAAUGGAAAUCUUCAUGAAGAGGUUUACAUGGUUCCACCUUCUGGUCUUUCUCAUUCUCCUGGAUUUGUUUGCAAGCUCAGGAAGACACUUUAUGACCUCAAACAAGCACCUCGUGCCUAGUUUGAGAAAUUUUCCACUGUUGUUACCUCUCUUAGCUUUACAUCCAGUCAUCAUGACUCCACUCUAUUCUUUAGAAGCACUUCUGCUGGUUGCAUUCUAUUAUUGUCAUAUGUUGAUGAUAUGAUUAUCACUGGUGAUGAUGAUGAUGGAAUUGCAAGUUUGAAAUCAGAAUUGGCUCGUCGUUUUGAAAUGAAGGACUUGGGUGCAUUAUCUUAUUUUUUGGAGAUCGAAGUUGCUUCUUCUCCUAGAGGUUAUCUUCUCUCUCAAUCCAAGUAUACUAUGGAUGUAACUGAGCGUGUUCGUCUUACUGAUACUAAAACUGUUGAUACUCCUCUUGAGUCCAACGCUCGAUAUUCAUCCUCUGACUGUGUACUAUUGCCUGAUCCCACUUUGUAUUGCACUAUUGUUGGAUGUCUGGUCUAUCUUACCAUCACACGUCCCGAUAUUGCUUAUGCUGCUCACAUUGUUAGUCAGUUUGUUUCAGCUCCUACUAUGGUUCAUUGGGCAGCAGUUGCUCGUAUUUUACGUUAUUUCCGUGGUACAUGCUUUCAAAGUCUUUUGUUUUCGUCGACCUCAUCUUUAGUACUCCAUGCCUACUCUGACACUAAUUGGGCCAGUAACCCCACUGAUUGCAAGUCCACUACCGGCUUUUGUAUAUUUUUGGGUGAUUCUCUUAUCUCUUGGAAAAGUAAGAAGUAGACCAUUGUUUCUCGUUCUUCUAUGGAGGCAGAGUAUCGAGCUAUGGCAUCCACUAUCACUGAGAUUGUGUGGUUGCGAUGGUUACUUGGAGACAUGGGUAUUCCUCAUUCUUUUCCAACCCCUAUGUAUUGUGAUAAUACCAGUGCUAUUCAGAUAUCUCAUAAUUCCGUAUUCCAUGAACGCACAAAGAAUAUUGAGAUUGAUUGACAUCUGGUUCGUCAUCAUUUGCAGACAGGCACCAUUUCCCUACCUUUUGUUUCUUCAUCAUUGCAGCAUGCUGACUUCUUCACUAAGUCUCAUCCGGUUCAUCGUUUUUGCUUCUUACGUGACAAACUCUCACUGCUCCUUGCUUCAGCAUCGUGAGUUUGAAGGGAGAUGAUAAUAUAUUUAUUUGUUUAAUUAUUUAAUUAAUAUUUUGUUUCCUUAUUAGCUUAGUUUCCUUACUAGCUUAGGUCUCUUUGUAAUAUAUUAAAUCAUUGUAAACCCUAAUUCCUUAAGUGGCUC